rnacentral:lncRNA from 12 species
AUAUCAGUCCAUAAAUAUCAGUCCAUACAUCUCAGUCCAGAAAUCUCUGCCCAUAAAUCCCUGUUCAAUCCCUGUCCAUAAACAUCUGUCCAUAAAUCCUGUCCAUCAAUCCCUGCCCAUCAAUCCCUGUCCAUAAAUCUCAGUCCAUCAAUUCCUGCCCAUCAAUUCCUGCCCAUCAAUCCUUGCCCAUCAAUCAAUCCCUGCCCAUCAGUCCCUGCCCAUCAAUCAAUCCCUGCCCAUCAAUCAAUCAAUCAAUCCCUGCCCAUCAAUCAGUCCCUGCCCAUCGACCCCCAUCCCCAAGCCACCCACCACUGUAAGAAGCCCAGUGCAUGGGGGAGUAGCCGCUGUAGUCCACCACGGAGUCCAGGGGGUCGGUGGACAGCGCUGCCUGCAGCAGGGUCCUCAGCACCUCCAGGUGGCCGCAGGCCGAGGCGAAGUGGAUCGGGGUCCGGCCCUUGAAAUCGCGGCACAGGACGAAGGCAUCGUGGUCCAGCAGAGCAGCCAGGCAAUCCUCGCAGCCUGUCACGGCCUGGGGGCACGGGGGGGUGAGAAAACCUAAAAUCCUGACGUCGUAUCGUGACAUCGUAUCAUUGUGUGGGGGUUCGGGGCAUGAGAAAACCCAAAAUCCUGCUGCUGUCGUGAUAUCACAUCACUGCAUGGGGGUUUGGGGCAUUAAAAUACCCAAAAUCCUGCUGCUGUCGUGAUAUCACAUCACUGCAUGGGGGUUUGGGGCAUUAAAAUAUCUAAAAUGCUGCUGCUGUCGGGAUAUCACAUCACGGCAUGGGGGUUUGGGGCAUUAAAAUAUCCAAAAUCCUGCUGCUGUCGUGAUAUCACAUCACUGCAUGGGGGUUUGGGGCAUUAAAAUAUCUAAAAUGCUGCUGCUGUCGGGAUAUCACAUCACGGCAUGGGGGUUUGGGGCAUUAAAAUAUCCAAAAUCCUGCUGCUGUCGUGAUAUCACAUCACUGCAUGGGGGUUUGGGGCAUUAAAAUAUCUAAAAUGCUGCUGCUGUCGUGAUAUCACAUCACCCUGCGGUAGCACAACACCCAAAAUCCUGCUGCUAUCACGAUAUCACAUCACUGAAUGGGGGUUUGGGGCAUGAGAAAAUCCAAAAUCCUGCUGCUGUCGUGAUAUCACAUCACUGCAUGGGGGUUUGGGGCAUUAAAAUAUCUAAAAUGCUGCUGCUGUCGUGAUAUCACAUCACCCUGCGGUAGCACAACACCCAAAAUCCUGCUGCUAUCACGAUAUCACAUCACUGAAUGGGGGUUUGGGGCAUGAGAAAAUCCAAAAUCCUGCUGCUGUCGUGAUAUCACAUCACUGCAUGGGGGUUUGGGGCAUUAAAAUAUCUAAAAUGCUGCUGCUGUCGGGAUAUCACAUCACUGCAUGGGGGUUUGGGGCAUUAAAAUAUCCAAAAUGCUGCUGCUGUCGUGAUAUCACAUCACCCUGCGGUAGCACAACACCCAAAAUCCUGCUGCUAUCACGAUAUCACAUCACUGAAUGGGGGUUUGGGGCAUGAGAAAAUCCAAAAUCCUGCUGCUGUCGUGAUAUCGCAUCAUUGCGUGGGGAUUUGGAGCAUUAAAAUAUCCAAAAUCCUGCUGCUGUCGUGAUAUCGCAUCACCUUUGGUGGUUUGGGCUAUCAGAACAUCCGAAAAUCCUGCUGCUAUCAUGAUAUCAUCACAUCACUGCAUGGGGGUUUGGGGUAAUAAAAUAUCCAAAAUCCUGCUGUUGUCAUGAUAUCACAUCAUUGUGUGGUGGUUUAGGGCAUUAAAAUAUCCAAAAUUCUGCUGCUAUCGUGAUAUUGCAUCACCCUGUGGUGGUUUGGGUUAUCAGAACAUCUGAAAUGCUGCUGCUAUCGUGAUAUCACAUCACUGCAUGGGGGUUUGGGGCAUCAAAAUAUCCAAAAUCCUGCUUCCCAGAAUUCACAGAAUCCCAGAAUUCACAGAAUCCCCAAACACACAGAAUUCACAGAAUCUAAAUCCUCACCCCAGGCAGAGCAUUCCAGAAUUCAACACUUCUGAUUUUUAGUGUUUUAUCCCAUUUUCAGUAAAUCCUCAUCCCAGACUGACAAUUCCAGAAUUUUAUCACUUUUCAAUUUUAGUAUUUUAUCCCUUUUUCAGUAAAAAACCUCACCCCAGACAAGCAAUACUAAUACUUUAUCACCCUUUCACUAAACAUUCACCCCAGACAAUUCCAGAAUUUUAACACUUUUCAUUUUUAGUAUUUUAUCCCAUUUUCAGUAAAUCCUCAUCCCAAGCAGACAAUUUUAGUCUUUUAUAAUUCUUUCUGCAAAUCCUCACCCCAGACCGACAACUCUAGAAUUUGACACUUUUGAUUUUUAGUAUUUUAUCCCUUUUCCAGUAAAUCCUCACCCCAGACCGACAAUUCUAGUAUUUUAUCACUCUUUCAGUAAAUCUUCACCCCAUCGAGACCAUUCCAGAAUUUUAUCCCUUUUCCAGUAAAUCCUCACCCCGAGCAGACACUUCCAAUAUUUUUAUCACUUUUUCAGUAAAUCCUCAUCCCAAGCAGACAAUUUUAGUCUUUUAUAAUUCUUUCUGCAAAUCCUCACCCCAGACCGACAACUCUAGAAUUUGACACUUUUGAUUUUUAGUAUUUUAUCCCUUUUCCAGUAAAUCCUCACCCCAGACCGACAAUUCUAGUAUUUUAUCACUCUUUCAGUAAAUCUUCA